rnacentral:lncRNA from 1 species
UGGGUGCUAUAUUUCACCAAGCGUGGGCAAGUCUUAUCUACUUGUAAAAAUCUUAGAAAUAUAUGUGGUUCUGAAAAUUAGAAGAUGUUUUCUGGCAUCCCUUACUGUGGCAACUCAGCGUUACCAAAUCCUUUAACUAUUGCACUAGGUUCCGUUAGUUGUACUCACGUUCUACUACAUGGCACAGGGAACUCAAUUAGCAUUAGUGUUGAUAAUCUUCUU